rnacentral:rRNA from 1 species
AGAACGAACGCUGGCGGCAUGCCUAACACAUGCAAGUCGAACGAGACCUUCGGGUCUAGUGGCGCACGGGUGCGUAACGCGUGGGAAUCUGCCCUUGGGUUCGGGAUAACAGUUGGAAACGACUGCUAAUACCGGAUGAUGUCUUCGGACCAAAGAUUUAUCGCCCAAGGAUGAGCCCGCGUAGGAUUAGCUUGUUGGUGAGGUAAGAGCUCACCAAGGCGACGAUCCUUAGCUGGUCUGAGAGGAUGAUCAGCCACACUGGGACUGAGACACGGCCCAGACUCCUACGGGAGGCAGCAGUGGGGAAUAUUGGACAAUGGGCGAAAGCCUGAUCCAGCAAUGCCGCGUGAGUGAUGAAGGCGUUAGGGUUAGUAAAGCUCUUUUACCGGAGUGAUAAUGACAGUACCGGAAGAAGUAACGCCCGACUAACGUCCGCGCCACGCACGCCGAC